UACGUAGGGUGCAAGCGUUGUCCGGAAUUAUUGGGCGUAAAGAGCUCGUAGGCGGUUUGUCGCGUCUGCCGUGAAAGUCCGGGGCUCAACUCCGGAUCUGCGGUGGGUACGGGCAGACUAGAGUGAUGUAGGGGAGACUGGAAUUCCUGGUGUAGCGGUGAAAUGCGUAGAUAUCUGGAGGAACACCGGUGGCGAAGGCGGCAUCCUGGACCGACACUGACGCUGAGGAGCGAAGCCAGGGGAGCAAAGCGGG
rnacentral:rRNA from 1 species